rnacentral:rRNA from 1 species
CACGUAGGGGGCAAGCGUUGUCCGGAAUCAUUGGGCGUAAAGAGCUCGUAGGCGGCUCAGUAAGUCGGGUGUGAAACCCUCAGGCUCAACCUGGGGACGCCACCCGAUACUGCUGUGGCUAGAGUCCAGUAGGGGAGUGUGGAAUUCCCGGUGUAGCGGUGAAAUGCGCAGAUAUCGGGAGGAACACCAGCGGCGAAGGCGGCACUCUGGGCUGGUACUGACGCUGAGGAGCGGAAAGCGUAGGUAGCAAACAGGA